AUUGAACGCUGGCGGCAGGCCUAACACAUGCAAGUCGAACGAGUGGCGGACGGGAGAGAUAUGUCUGGGAAACUGCGCGAUGGAGGGGGAUCACCACUGGAAACUGUAGAAAACACCGUAUACCAUCGGAUGUGCACAGAUGGGAUUAGCUAGGAGGGGGGGUAACGUCUCACCUAGGCGACGAUCCCUCUCUGGUCUGAGAGGAUGACCAGCCACACUGGAACUGCGACACGGUCCAGACUCCUACGUGAGGCAGCAGUGGGGAAUAUUGCACAAUGGGCGCAAGCCGGAUGCAGCAAUGCCGCGUGUGUGAAGAAGGCCUUCGGGUUGUAAAGUACUUUCAGCGAGGAGGCGUUACGCGCAGAAGAAGCACCGGCUAACUCCGUGCCAGCAGCCGCGGUAAUAC
rnacentral:rRNA from 1 species